AACGUAAUAACGUAUCGAAAUCGAAUAAAUAUUUACAUAAUCCACUACGAAUUAACGUAAUCCAUUACAAAAUUAUCAAAAACCACUACAAAAUUAACGUAAUAACGUAUCGAAAUCGAAUAAAUAUUUAAAUAAUCCAACACGAAUUAACGUAAUCCAUUACAAAAUUAUGAAAAUCCACUACAAAAGUUAUCAAAAUCCACUACAAAAUUAACGUAAUAUAUGGAUUGAAAUCCACUACAUACUCAUUGAAAACCACUAUAAAUUCAUCGUAAACCACUAUUCGAUUGAAAACCACUACAUACUCAUCGAAAACCACUAUAAAUUCAUCGAAAAACACUACAAGCUUAUCAUCACCCAACAUGGUCCCACUUGCUGCCAUCACCCGCUUGUGCAUGAAUCUAAACCAAAGAAAAAUAAGACAACAACGUGUCAAUUUAAUUCAUUCACUAAAAAAUGAAGAAUUUAAAAUCCACUAUAAUCUCGUCAAAACCCAGUACAAAAAUUAUCGAAAUCCACUAAAAUAUUAACAUAAUCCACUACGAAAUAAGUUAAUCCACUAACAAAUUACAACAAAAAGUAUAAUAACAAAUACUCAAAUAGUGACCGAAAACGUGAAGGAGCCUCAAAAGUAUAUUGAAAAUCUCAUAUAUAUAAUAGCUCAUUCAACAAUUCGACUAGUUGUCACUUCUAUUUUGUUAACCAUCGUGUAAAAUUUAUUUAUGGAUAUAGAGAAAAAAUGACAGCAACAAAAACAGCAGCAAACCAACAUCUUAAACAGCAGCAAAACAACACGAAAACAACAGCAAAACAGCAACAAAAUCAGCUGCAAAUUAGGAGCCAAACAUCAGUAAAGCCAAAAGAAAACAGCAGCAAAAACAGCAGCAAAAAACAGCAGCAAAAACAGCAGCAAAAAACAGCAGCAAAAAACAACAGCAAAGAAAAUCAGCAAAAUAGCAGCCAAACAAUAGCCAAGCCAAUUGCAGCUAAAAAAUACAAUAAAUAAAUUAUAAUUCUAAAUUUUCAGAAAAAAAUAUCCAAAAUUUGAGAAUAUUUUUGGAAAUUAUGGAAUUUUCGAUAAUAUUUAGUGUUUCACCUUAUUAAUUCGUAUUGUAUUCCUUACUAAAAAUUAUCAAAUCUCAAAACCCAAACAUGUUUGAAAUCAAACAUUAUCAAAUUUCAAAACCAAAACAUGUUUGAAAUCAGAAGAAUUUUUGCACUCAUUCACCGUUAUCACAAAGUUAUUCAUGUGAAUCAAGUUUUAUAUUUUUAUGGAGUUCUCUUUUUUUCAUGAAUCAACAUUAGUCUCUCUCUCUCUCUCUCUCUCUCUCUCUCUCUCUCUCUCUCUCUCUCUCUCUCUCUCUCUCUAUAUAUAUAUAUAUAUAUAUAUGUACACACACACAGGGGAAUGAAAUUCCCCACAAAUACGUACCUGGUCGAAACACCAAUAUCACGAAGAAAUGUUCUGCACAAAAAUCACUCACAAAGAUCUGUUUGUCGAUUCCAGAUCCGAUCGUCGGGAUUAAGCCUUGUCAUCAUCGAUUUUUCUGGUUUCGUCUUCUUUUGCGUUUUAUGUCAUGGUGGUCCUUUAUCCGGCCGUCAAGAGAAGAAAAGCGGAAGAAAUAGUGGGUGGAUGGGGAAGAUGGACAUAUCGGAUUCCGCCGAGAAAAGAAAAACAGAAGAAAGAGAGAGCGGAUGGUGGAUGGAUCGAGAGAAAGAGUGAGGGAGAGAAAACGUGUCUAGGGUUAAACGGCAUGAGAUUUGGGUGGGUUUGGUAAAGGGUAUAAUUGUACUAUAUAUUUUAAAAUUAAAUUAUGGAUUUAUCUCAAAGAGGUGAAAAAAGAAUGGAC
rnacentral:lncRNA from 1 species